rnacentral:rRNA from 1 species
UACGGGGGGGGCAAGCGUUGUUCGGAAUUAUUGGGCGUAAAGAGCUCGUAGGCGGUCUGUCACGUCGGCUGUGAAAUCCCGAGGCUCAACCUCGGGCCUGCAGUCGAUACGGGCAGACUAGAGUUCGGUAGGGGAGACUGGAAUUCCUGGUGUAGCGGUGAAAUGCGCAGAUAUCAGGAGGAACACCGGUGGCGAAGGCGGGUCUCUGGGCCGAAACUGACGCUGAGGAGCGAAAGCGUGGGGAGCGAACAGG